rnacentral:rRNA from 1 species
UACGGAGGGUGCAAGCGUUGUCCGGAAUUAUUGGGCGUAAAGAGCUCGUAGGCGGUUUGUCGCGUCGAAUGUGAAAACCCGGGGCUCAACCCCGGGCCUGCAUUCGAUACGGGCAGACUAGAGUUCGGUAGGGGAGUCUGGAAUUCCUGGUGUAGCGGUGAAAUGCGCAGAUAUCAGGAGGAACACCGGUGGCGAAGGCGGGACUCUGGGCCAAUACUGACGCUCAUGCACGAAAGCGUGGGGAGCAAACAGG